CCGAGUAAAGAGAGAGAGUGGGACAGAGUGAGAGAGUGAAAGAGAGAGAGAGAGAGAGCUCGUCCGAAGUCACGUGCGCUUGCCAUUUUGCUCCCUGUCGUAGCAACAACUCGCGUUAAUAAAAUACCCGCAAGAAUUUAAGAUUACAAAGUGGCGUUGGACUGGGUUGGGGGGGUUUGGGUGUGCGAACUCGUAUCCGUUAACAAGCACAGAAUUAUUAAGUACCGGCUGUGUUUAAAAAGGGGAGUUAUCAUCGAGUAAGCCGCUCACGUGGAGCAAUAACGUUCGAAAUUAGAGUCGUCUAAAAUAGGAAACAAUCUGUUCUGACUUGUAUUUUACAAGAAAAUUUAUUGAUGCGUAUUCGUUAUGAAAUAAAAAAUUCUUCAAAAGUAAAUAAAACAUUGCAGAAGCGUACGAAUCUGUGUUAAUGUUAUUACAACAGUCUAAUAGAAAGGAAAAUUCGAUAGAAGCCUUUUGAAACGUUUAAAUAAUGCAGCUUGAAUAACGGAUUUCAAGAAACAAGAGAAAAUAGCGAAAUAUUUGCUUAAGUAUUUCACCGAAAUAAGGAGGACGUAAUACAAAAAAACAAAAAAAGAGAAAGAAGAAGAGAAGAAAAAAAAAAGUAUAUACUAAAAGAGAGUUUCCAAACAUAGAGAAGUAAACAGUAGUAUAGAGUCCGUUGCGUAUUUACCGGUUACCGGCCACUUUACUGCCAUACUUUCGUAUUUCCCGUUUGUACGGCCAUUACGCGAACGCGGGAAACUUUAAAUCCCUUUCAUAAAAGUUACAAGUCAUAUGGGAGAAAAAGUUCUAGUUGGUCGUAACAAGUACGAUGACUGUUUAUUCUCGAAUUAGCUUGCGAACAAGUAAGUUUUUUUCAAAAUAAAAAUCUAAAUCUCUGUUGGAAAGUAAUUAACAUAAGGUAUUCUCUUAUUAAUUAAUUCUUUGAAAUGACUUAGAUUUUUAGAAUAUUCUACGAUGAAAAUGAAAAACCAAAGAUAUAUUUGAUAUAAAAACUAGAAUACAAAAAUGUGACAAA